rnacentral:lncRNA from 1 species
UUCAACGUUCGUGAUCGCUUCGUAGAUCCGCAUCAAAGGUUUCAAUCGUCACAAGAGGUAACGAUUCUAUCACUGAUCAUGCCCAUUCGUAAGGAUCACUAAAGGAGAUUUUUUUUUUUUUUUAAAUUCCAUUGCAUUUUGGAUCGCCCUUCUCCUUCAGUGGUAUCAGAGCCACUUACGAAACCAUGCAUCUGAUAACUGUUUA